rnacentral:lncRNA from 1 species
CUGGCACAAUGUUCACCACACCUGGAGGGAAGCCCACCUCCUUAAUCAGAGAGCCAAUGUACAGUGAUGUGAGAGGAGUUUGUUCAGCUGGUUUAAUAACCAAAGUGUUUCCACAGCACAGCGCCGGUGCCAUCUUCCAAACCAGCAUCAGCAAUGGGAAGUUCCAUGGAGUUAUAGCUCCACAAACACCCAUCGGUUCAUGCCUGGUGAAACAGACAAAGUUUUCAUCCACAGGGAUAGUCCUGCCCUGGAUUUUAUCAGCCCAUCCAGCAUAAUAUCGGAGUGUCUUUAUACAACCUUCCAGGUCAAUGAAAUAAGCCUGCAGAAAAGGUUUUCCCGUGUCCAUUGUUUCUAAAGUUGCCAGGAUGACUCUGUCUCGCUCUAGAAGAUCAGCCAGUUUGUGUAGGAGCCGUCCCCUGCUUAAGGCAUCCAUUUGUCUCCACUGAGACCCUCUCUGGAAUGCUGCCUUUGCUGCUUCCACUGCAUUAUCCACAUCAGGCUUGUCUCCUUCCUCAAUAUCACAGAUUUUCUCUAGCGUCGAGGGAUUGUAGGUAGGGAACUUCUUUCCACUGGUAGACUCGUGCCAUUCAUUGUUUAUAAAUAUCUUGGUGUACUUCACCUCCAAACCCCUCAGAGGCCGUGGCAGCGGCGGCCCCUUCUUGUCAGGCGGCCCGUUCUCCACAGCACCGUUGACCGCGGCCAUACCCACCCCGUCGAGCCCAGACCCCA